CUGGAGCACUCGCUGACAACCCCUCUCUUCCUUCUCAGGGGGCCCGUCUGGGCAGAAACCAUGUGGAAGAGCUGCUGCGCUGCCUCGGGGCACACAUCCACACUCCCAACCGCCGGCAGCUGGCCCAGGAGCUGCGGGCGCUGCAAGGACGGCUGAGGGCCCAGGGCCUUGGGCCUGCGCUUCUGCACAGACCGCUGUUUGCCUUCCCGGAUGCGGUGAAGCAGAUCCUCCGCAAGCGCCAGAUCCGUCCACACUGGAUGUUCGUUCUGGACUCACUGCUCAGCCGUGCUGUGCGGGCAGCCCUGGCUGUGCUAGGACCGGGUAGGAGGGGAAUGCCACGGGCCUCCUGCCAGCGAGGGUGUGGUGCUUGCUGGGCGUGGUGAACAUCGAAUGGGCCGGUGGAGGCCAGGCAGGACAGGGGCAGGCAGGCGCCGGUGGGGGCGUGACUAAAUGGACAUCUCCCAUACCGGCACCGCCUGGGGCCUGCCCAGAGCCGGGCACCCUACCCCCGCACUUUGGGGUCUGGGGUUACCAAACGGGCGUUGUAGCCUUGCCUGAGUUCACCGCACUGGGCUGCAGAGGUGGAGAAGGAGGCGGUCUCACCGAGGUCAGAGGAGCUGAGUAAAGAAGGGGACUCCCAGCAGAGCCCAGGCCAGCAGAGCCCGCUUCCGGUGGAGCCCGAGCAGGGCCCCGCUCCUCUGAUGGUGCAGCUGAGCCUCUUGAGGGCAGAGACUGAUCG
rnacentral:sRNA from 1 species